AUUGAACGCUGGCGGCAGGCCUAACACAUGCCAGUCGAGCGAGCGGCGGAUGGGUGAGUCAUGCCUGCCAAUUUCUCAGUCGAGGGGGAUAUCAGUUGGCAACGACUGCUAAUACCGCAUAAUUUUGUAUUGCUCAGGUGGCAUUAGCUAGUUUGUGAGGUAAUGGCUCACAAAGGCAACGAGCCCUAGCUGGUCUGAGAGGAUGAUCAGCCACACUGGAACGGAGACACGGUCCAGACUCCUACGGGAGGCAGCAGUGGGGAAUAUUGCACAAUGGGGGAAAGCCUGAUGCAGCCAUGCCGCGUGUGUGAAGAAGGCCUUCGGGUUGUAAAGCACUUUCAGCGAGGAGGCGUUACUCGCAGAAGAAGCACCGGCUAACUCCGUGCCAGCAGCCGCGGUAAUUC
rnacentral:rRNA from 1 species